CCGCACGGGUGAGUAACACGUAUCCAACCUGCCGUCUACUCUUGGCCAGCCUUCUGAAAGGAAGAUUAAUCCAGGAUGGCAUCAUGAGUUCACAUGUCCGCAUGAUUAAAGGUAUUUUCCGGUAGACGAUGGGGAUGCGUUCCAUUAGAUUGUAGGCGGGGUAACGGCCCACCUAGUCAACGAUGGAUAGGGGUUCUGAGAGGAAGGUCCCCCACAUUGGAACUGAGACACGGUCCAA
rnacentral:rRNA from 1 species